UUAACCUGCGUUCGAUCGAUCGCAUGCGACUCCCCGAGGAACCGGCCCGGCCUCGGCUACCCGCUCCGCGCCCGCCCGCCCGGGCACCGAAGGUCCCACUCGUUCGGUUCCCUCUCGAAUCCCGACCGGGUUCCUAAGCCAGAUGGGCUCGGCAGCAGUCCGUUUGUAAGCAGUGUCGGAGCUGCGAGCUGCGGUGGGAGCUGAAAUGUUCCCUUGGCCUGCAGACCAGCAGAGAGGCCUUUUCCACCACUUUGAGACCCGACAGGCUCUCUGCUGUGACCUGGGAAAGCAGUAGAAGAUGGCCCAAGUCCUUGGGCCCCUGCACCCGCGUGGGAGACCUGGAAGAAGCUCCUGGCUCCCAGCUUUGGAUCGGCACAGCUCCGGCUAUGCGCCCAACUGGGGAGUGAACCAGUGGAUGGAAGAUCUCUGUCUCUCUGCCCCUCCUUUCCCUAUGUAACUCUGACUUUCAA